rnacentral:lncRNA from 1 species
AUUUUCAAGCCAUUGUGAACCAGCCACGGUAGAAAGGAGAACGAAGACACCUUCAAGCCCUGUUCACUGACAUACUGCACAUGCAUUUGUGGUAUACUGAACUUCAAUCCUGUCUUAACGCCAGCAUGGAAGUGUGUCAGUCACCAAAUGAAGAGCAAAACAAGUUUAUGGAGAGUCCAUCUGAAUAGGCUGCAUGUUAUUUUAACCAGACAGCUCAGCGAAACCGGCUGAAGUCUGAGAGCUGAAGAGCAGUCUGUGCAGGGCUGAGGAUGCUGCCUGGGGCCAGCAAGAUGCUUUGAGGUGAAUUGGAAAUACAGCUAUGGUUUUGGAGAGGACCCAUUUGAAUGGCAGUAGUUUGUCUGCAGGAAGGAAACGGGCCUGGCUUUGGAAAAAGGAAUUUUCUCUUUGAUAAUCUGAGAACUGAAGAGUUGACUUGGUGCCAUCAGCAGCUCCUUGGAGGCAAAGGAAGGCUUCCAUCUAUGGAAAAUUGCAGUGCACUAGCACAUGGUCUCUGGGGAUCAAGCCUGAACACAGUCAUUUUCCUUCACUUUUGCACGCAAAAUCUCUUACUGUAACCACAUGUGGACAUCAUGCUGCUUUGUUCUGUCCUGCUCCAGCCAGCCGAGUCCUUUCCUGAUCUGUGUCACAGAGCCUUGCGCCUCUCUACAAAGGAGAUUCAGUAUCUCAUAUCCUUUUUCAUAUUUUCCCUGUCUUUUUUUUUUCUUUUUUUCUGCCCAUAUCACAAAGAACCAUCACAUCUGAGCUUCAGAUGGAGUGGCCAAGCAGAAGUGCUACUUGAUGACCUCCUUGUUGACAGCUGUUCUUACUGCCCUGAGCGCCUCUCACCAGCACCUGGUGCUUCCCAGGCUCGCGGUAUGGCUGAUCACUGGGCUCAGAGCACAGCUGCCUUUACAAACCGUUUUCAACAAGAAUGCUCCAUGGGGAAGCAGCAGUAUUGCAAUCGGAGCUGCUGUGCAACCCUAGAGCAGCUGAGAGGGCACCACGGCCUUCCCCAGAGGUCCUGGAGCCUCGAUGAGCACAAAUACCCCAUGUACAAUGGUUUUCUCUGUGCAACGUGUGCUGUGGACCAAUGAGACUCAUAUGGGUCAGUCUGCCUCAGUCUCACCCUACCUGUGCACCCAUACUGCGCAUUGGGCUGUUGUUGAUCUGGAACCUACUCUGGGUGACUGGAGAUUGUUCCUCUGUGUGUCAUCUGCUGCUUUCCAGAAACUCUCUAGCCAUUGUCACGAUGUAUUACUGCUGAAUUGAUCUCAAAUUCAGGAGAUUUAAUGUCUCCAAAUUGGUGUAGAUGUACUUUUGUAAGUUUGUGAUGUUGAUAUACAGCACUGCUUUCCUUUUAUUGUUGCUGUUUCCCCAAGGAAGCUCCCUAGGGUAGGGAAAACGGUUCAAGGGCAUGGUAGGUAGCAAGGGCAUCCUUUGAAUGCACUUACUUUGACCUCCCAUGGCACUUCAUCACCCCUGUCUCAAUCUAUGCAACACUACUGAUGUGUUAACAUGCAACUCCUUUACAUGCAGAUCUUCCACGUUCAGGGAAAAAAAGUAAACCAUUAACCAGAAGACCCCUAACAUAAUUGAUAAAAUAAAGGAUGGCUGUUAUAUUAUUCAAA